GAAACUGGGCUCAAGGUGAGGGGUGCUAUCUGUGAUUGAGGGACAUGGUCAAUGGAAUUGUCUCACACAGAAAUCGCACCCGUCACCUUGGCCUGCUGA
ensembl:miRNA Mir342 microRNA 342